rnacentral:lncRNA from 1 species
AAGCAAUUAAACAUUGCAAGUAUCAUAAGUGAAUUGAUCUUCACCAUCAUCAGACACAUACAAAAGGGGGAAUAAAUCCCUUUCAAUUCUUGCAUACAAAAAGUCAAUAUCCUAACUCAAAAAACUACAAAAAGUAUGCCACUACACUUGCCAUUCUUGAUCUAGUUCUUCACCAUCAUUAGACAUAUCAUCAUUAUCAUCAGCCAUGUCAUCUUCAUGAACUUAUCUCUGGUAUAUGGUUUGGGCUGAAAGUUUAAGCUUUCGAACAAUUGUUUUACCAUAUCACGAAGUUCAUCCCUUUCCCUAAUGACACAAAUAUAAGGCUAAUUAAUAUUUAAAAUUAAGUAAAAUAAAAUGAAAUCAACAUAAAAAAAACUAUUUAAAGUUGAGAACUCAUUACAUUGACAUGUUCCGAUCUUCGAUCAACCCAAGUCUUAUUCUUGCGAUGUUGGUGUGUGAACAAACAAAUUUGAAGGAGCGGGGGGAGUGCCAUUCAAUUAUGU